rnacentral:rRNA from 1 species
AGUGAACGCUGGCGGUAGGCCUAACACAUGCAAGUCGAACGGCAGCACAGUAAGAGCUUGCUCUUACGGGUGGCGAGUGGCGGACGGGUGAGGAAUACAUCGGAAUCUACUUUUUCGUGGGGGAUAACGUAGGGAAACUUACGCUAAUACCGCAUACGACCUACGGGUGAAAGCAGGGGAUCUUCGGACCUUGCGCGAUUGAAUGAGCCGAUGUCGGAUUAGCUAGUUGGCGGGGUAAAGGCCCACCAAGGCGACGAACCGUAGCUGGUCUGAGAGGAUGAUCAGCCACACUGGAACUGAGACACGGUCUAGACUCCUACGGGAGGCAGCAGUGGGGAAUAUUGGACAAUGGGCGCAAGCCUGAUCCAGCCAUACCGCGUGGGUGAAGAAGGCCUUCGGGUUGUAAAGCCCUUUUGUUGGGAAAGAAAAGCAGCAGGUUAAUACCCCGCUGUUCUGACGGUACCCAAAGAAUAAGCACCGGCUAACUUCGUG